GACGGAGGGUGCUAGCGUUGUUCGGAAUUACUGGGCGUAAAGGGCGCGUAGGCGGCCGCUUGCGUCGGAUGUGAAAGCCCGGGGCUCAACCCCGGAACGGCAUCCGAUACGGGGCGGCUCGAGACCGGGAGAGGAGGGUGGAAUACCCAGUGUAGAGGUGAAAUUCGUAGAUAUUGGGUGGAACACCGGUGGCGAAAGCGGCUCUCUGGCCCGGUUCUGACGCUGAGGCGCGAAAGCGUGGGGAGCAAACAGG
rnacentral:rRNA from 1 species